GACCUGACACCGGCGGAAUCGGACGUCCACUCUCCUCGGCAGAAUUAAUCAGGUGUUAUCUUAUACAAACUUUAUCCUCAUCGCACGAAGCUGACCGUCCCUGUCGAUGAGAAUGAGCCGCGCUUCGCCGGAGGAACAGACUUUUUUCCGUCUCCAAACGACCGGAGAGGCGCAGGGGCGAGACAAUAACGCCCAGAAGUUAUUGAAAUGAAUCGAGCUGGCACGGGAAGAAGAACCCGAACGAGCACUAGCAGCGUUAGCCUUCGCCACAGAGGGAAGAAUCAGAAGCAGGAGAGACAAAAGCGAUGAAAAGAGAGGUCCAGACAUGAAGGAGGCAUGCAUUCACACACAUGCAUGCGACGGCACCUAGAGUCUGUCUGCGGUCUACCACCAUCCUGCCACACACACACACUUACACACAAGCCUGUUACGGUAAGAAUCAGAGACCACCGAGUUGUUAGGAGGAUAAUAAUGGUGUGAAUGUGAGAAAACAAUCUCAUUAUCUGUUGCUAUUUUCUCCUCUGAGUAAUUUAAAGACAAAUUGGCUACUUGGAUUCUAAAAUACUUUAAAUUCAGUAAUUAAAAAAAUAAAUUAGAUGGGUUCAGUAAUUUAACUUCUGAAAAGUCGUUUAUUGCUGCUAGUAAAAAGUCAAUGAAAGGAUGCAUAUUUUUUAAUUCAGCUGCUUUUGAAAUUGAAAUCUUAAUUUAUGCAAUGUCAUUGUAUAUGGCAUUUCAUUUUAUGUUUUUGCUGCCAUGCAUGCCAUUUGUAGUGUGUCCCUGUGUGCAUGCACAAGGCCUGCUUCAUCUUUUUGCUAUUUCCAUCAUUCGAAACCAAUCUCCACAAGUCAAGUUUAACAGCUGCACCACAUAUCCCACAAACCCCUCAUAUCCAGCCCCCCUUACCCACCGUGAGCCCCUCCCAGGCUUCCCAGCAUCCUGCUUCGCCCUCUAUCCACAAAAAAAAUAAAACCAUGCGUGCUGAAAUUACAGUGUUUGCGGCACCAUUGUGGGAAAUCCUUCCCUCCCUCUGCGCUCUCUGUAUUUGCCCUUCUUGUCCCUGCUUAUCUUUUUCUCAUUCUGCUACUGUUUUGGACAGGGUUUAUGUUGAUGUUCAUUAAGCUGUCAAACAGCUGCCCAUACUUAAUUUGAAACUAUAGUUUCAGUGACUAAAGUUCAUUCUUGGGUUAACAAGGUAUUAAUGCAUUUUUAAAUAAGAUUGGCCUCUUUGUAUUUAUUAGUUUUUUAUUUGUUGGCCUUUGGAAAUUACGUUUAGGAAGACAGUUCGCUUUUUAAUUAACCUCAACGUUUGUAUUUUAUGAACUGCAUUAAACAAUUUAGAUCAUAAGUAAACAACAGAUAUCAUUAAUUAGCAUUGAUCUGUCCAAUGUGUUUCCAAGGUAAAUACAGAGGUGUGCAAAAGGGGAAAAAAGGAUAACAUCGAAUGAAAAUAAACAAUGUAUUAGAUAAAUUAAAGCUGCAAGCAGCGAUGAACUGGCCCGAGCAGAGUGCACUGACAAUUAUUUGUUUCUUACCAAAAUAAAAAACACUUUAAUUUAGAAGUGUUAGAUAAUUGAUCUUGUUUUAAUAGUUA